rnacentral:tRNA from 1 species
GUCUCGUUAGCUCAGCUGGUAGAGCAUCUGACUCUUAAUCAGGUGGCCGUUGGUUCGAUCCCAACACGGGACACCA